rnacentral:tRNA from 1 species
GGUUUCGUGGUGUAGCGGUUAUCACGUCUGCUUCACACGCAGAAGGUCGCGAGUUCGAUCCUCGCCGAAACCU